UCUCCUUCAGCGAGUUUGCGCGAAAAAGUAAUGAUGGGUGUGUUUUUAAGUGAAAGAAUAUCUUCCCCCAAAGUAAAUCACUAAAAAAGGGAGAAUGUUUAGCAGCCAUUUGAUGUCUGUUCAUCUAAUGCCAUUGAGCUACCAAAUGAAAGCCUAAUGUGCAUUCACAAAAUAGCAAGGCUAUUUAAUAUCAUACCAGUUCCUAGGUGGCUUGUCU
rnacentral:lncRNA from 1 species